CUCAGGCAGAAGCCCAAAGAAAGGGGCACCCCGAGCUUAGCUACCCACACUGGCAUCAGCCCAGCUGAAGCUACAUCAAGCUCCAUUUUAAUACUUUGCUUGUAAACUGCAUAUUCCAGGCCUGGUGGUAGUCACAUGACUGGUCAUGUGAUGGAGGAACAGCACUCAAGUUCCUGUUUAGGGCGGAUUUGAGCGUUCAUGGCGUGCUGCAUACAGGUGGAGACAUGUGAGAAAGUCCAAGUUGUCCUGGCCAGGAAAUGGGAGAAAUCUGGAGUGUGGGACAGGGGAGGCUCUUCACCGGAGCUCCAUUCUUUCUGAAGUUCAGAAACCCAAUCACAGUCUCCCUCUGAAUUUGGUACUGACCUGAAUUCCAGUUUGACUCCUUGCUCUCAAUGAAAUUCUAAAUGUACCUACAAAUUUUUGGUACGGGUUAUUUCUGUUAUGAAAUAAAAACAAA